rnacentral:rRNA from 1 species
UUCCUACGGGUGGCAGCAGUGGGGAAUAUUGGGCAAUGGGGGAAACCCUGACCCAGCAACGCCGCGUGAAGGACGAAGGCCUUCGGGUUGUAAACUUCUUUGAUCAGGGACGAAACAAAUGACGGUACCUGAAGAACAAGCCACGGCUAACUACGUGCCAGCAGCCGCGGUAAUACGUAGGUGGCGAGCGUUAUCCGGAUUUACUGGGUGUAAAGGGCGUGUAGGCGGGAUUGCAAGUCGGGUGUGAAAUAUCCAGGCUUAACUUGGAUGGGUCAUCCGAAACUGCAGAUCUUGAGUGCUGGAGAGGAUAGUGGAAUUCCUGGUGUAGCGGUAAAAUGCGUAGAUAUCAGGAGGAACACCAGUGGCGAAGGCGGCUAUCUGGACAGUAACUGACGCUGAGGCGCGAAAGCGUGGGUAGCAAACAGGAUUAGAUACCCCUGUAGUCAU